UGUAGGUCAGCAAGACUGGAAGACAAAAGAAGCCAUUAAGAAAAUGAAAAUGAGAUACUUUACCAUCAUCUUUAUCAUAUCUGUAGCAGUGUUCUUAACUUCAGAAACUGUCCAAGCAGCAAGUAUCACUCCGUCUUGCUUGAAAUACCAUAAGAAUAAAGAAUGUCAUCGGGUUUAUAAACCUGUUUGUGGAGAUGAUGAGACCACCUACUCCAAUGAAU